ensembl:lncRNA
AGCAAACAGGAUGUUUGCUUACACCUUCUCACAGCCACGUUUUGACAGCACGAAGCUGGUGGAGUUGAAGCUCCAACACAGGACCAUCUGUGAGGGGCUGGAGUCUGAGCACUGGUGGGUGCUCAGCAACGAAUUUUAUCAUCUGUUCGCGGAGGUGAGACUCAGUUAUUGGAGCAGGUUCAUCAUUUCACUGUGAUCAUGUUUUCUGCCAUUUGUGUCUGUUUUACUGCCUUUUUAUUUGAACCUCAUGGUGUUCACUGAUUUUACAGCUUCCUCCUCAGCACUUCGCUACUGUGGCUGCUGUGGCCUGCAUCAAGGUAAAGCUGUAAUCUCAUUUGGACCGUAAGACCUUUGCUGCCAGAUUGCCCUGUUUAGAUGUUUUCAUCAACAUCUCAUCUGCUCAUUCAGCGUUUUGGAACAUCGAUCAGCGAGGCGACCUUCUACCUUCGCACUGAAUCAGUGGAGACAUCACUGCAGAAUGUUACUCUGGUUAGUACUUCAUUGUGUACUUUUGCAGUUCAGUUAAUAGAUUGUAACUUAGUAGUUCUGCAAAUUGUGUCCGAUUAUAAAUGUAAGCAUUUUCAGCAUUUCUCUGUGUGUGUUUUGCAGCAAACCAAAGUGGGGAAGACACUGAAGAUGGUAUCCAUUGGUUCAGAUGGCUGUUUCAGGACUCACCAUUCCAGCAACACCCGGAUCCUUGAGACGCCAGCACCAUACAUGGUUUCUAGCAAACCACGAGGACCCCCACCAGGCUUCUAAUCACACUCUACACCUUAAUAUCAUACCUUUUUUAAGUUCAUUAUCAUAGUGAUUGUAGUUCUUAUAGUGGUAAUUAUAUCGUUUUUUUCUAUCAUUCUGUGUGUGUGUGUGUGUGUGUGUGUGUGUGUGUGUGUGUGUUUUCAGAUGCAGUUUUCUGUGUAACCAGGAGAGCCCCUGAAGAUUUAUCUCUGAGAGAAUGACGGUGGAUCAUCACAUCUUAUCAUCUCUAGACUGGAAACAUGGGUUCCAGUGCAUCAUUCCUCCUGGAUUCGAGGCUCUAGACAGCAGUGACUCCUACAUGUCAUCAAGAAACUGUGGACUUGUACGCCGGAUGUACGCUGAAGGAAGCCUUGACAAGAAGUGCAGCAAGACCUUUAGAGACUUCACCAUCAGCCAUCACUGGACUUUAUCUCCAGCGUUUAUGUUCAUCAGAAGCAGGAUCGCCUCUGGCAUCAUCAUUAUUGUCUUAGCCACAGACCCAGGACCAUUGGAGACAUCAGGACCCAUGAAGAGGAGAUCAGCGCCAUCAUCACCACUGGACAUUAUCAUCAGCAGAAGCUUCAUCACCGCUGCCAUCGUACACAUCAAGAUCUCAGUUAUCAUCAUCGUCUUAGCCAUGGACUGAGUCAGAAGAUGUUACUUCAUCUCAUCAUCAUGACAACAAGCUAGUCUCAACAGCAUAUAAUUAUCGUUAUUCCUGUUUGUAAAUUGUAUUUGUAGAGUAUUUAUAACAACUAUAACCCUAUGAAUAGUUUUCAAUAAAGCCUGAAUUUAUUUCAAUGUUACAAACAAAUAGAUUUGCUCUCAUUUUUACCUUCUGUGAAAAUUAUUCCUUGAAAAAUUCUCAUCAAAAAAAAGUUGUGAGGUGCAUUUUUAUACCUGCUAGAAUCUGAUCAAUGUGUUUAUAUUUGUUUUGUAGCUGCUAUAAAAGGUAUAAAUUCAUUUUAAACAAGACACAUUUUCAUGGUUUUCCUGGGGUCAAACCACCUGACUGACACCUGUGAC